CUGGUCAGUGUAUGUGGAAACACACACACUGCCUAUGACAGCAGAAAUGAAAAACACCCUCUUGUAGCCCUCCUCCCUGCACAGUCACACGUGAGCACCCAUAAUGAUCCUCCACAGAGCAGCACAACCCUGGGUGAACCUCCCUGGCUCCGACUCACCCGCUCUUUCAUACGAGACACUAUGAAUCGCAGGUGGCAGUUGAGGAGACACAAUAGAGCAGCCGUGUGGUGCUUUSCUUUGGGGUUAACCUGCAACAUGGGCAAUUCCUGUCACACCACUGCUUUAGAGAAACCUGCAAACCUUCUGCUUUGAAUCAAGGAAAUCGGAUUAGUUUAAGCGUGCCCAGCGCUGGGGGUCGGGCAGGUCGGGCGGCUCCGGCAGCCGCAGUUCCCGCAGGCACCGCCAGGUGUCGCCGGGCGCUCCCGAAAGCGGCGGCCCAAGGGGACAGCGCCCGCAGGGAGCGGCGACAUCCGAGCGGCCACUGCCGGACACCGGGAUGCGGAACCAGCUCGGGACAUAUCGGGAGUGGUAUGGAUGAUGGUGGUGGCUAAGAGAGUCAACUAAGCUAUCCUAAUGGAAGACAGAAACGUAAUAGAAAAUAUGACAGAAUUCAAAACCACAUAGUGCAAAAAUUGUUCACCUUGUUUUUUGCUGCUGUCUGGGAAAAAGGCUGCAUACCGUAGGCCUUUCAAAAUAAAAACAAAACAAACUUUGUAUCUAUACUGUAAGCCAUCUGRUUAUCAGGAUAUACACAAGGCUAGAAAGAAUUCAUGCACAGUGACCGGAAAAUCAAUCUGUUAGUUCUAACUUCUGGUUGCAUACAUUUCCUCCUGCAUUCCUGGAAUGCUACCUAACGUUUUCAUCACAUUUCACUUCUUUAAAAUAUCCCAUGUACUUAUAUGAUUAAAAGAACCCAACACCCAUCAUUUUUAUCCAUAUACACACCCACCRCCAGGCCAAUUAAAAACUCCUCAAGAAUAUUAAUGAUUGUUAAWUAAUGCACUCUCUUUGAUACAUAAACCUUCUCUGGGCAUCUAAAAAAGAUCCUUCUAAGGUAAUUUACUGCCKAGGGAAUGGCCCCACCAAAAUCAACCCAACACCUUUGCUGCAUACUAUCAAGGGUUAGGCUGUCACUUUACCAAUGAGACUCACAGUUGUAAUUUGUGUAUAAAAGGUGACACAUUUUCCCAGGGCCAGGCAGACCAAAGGAAGGAUCUCCGCCACAGGGACCCCGUUCCUGAGGCAGGGCAGGGAAAGCCUCCGGGUCACUGUGCUGGCACACAAAGGGAAUCCUCUCGAAGGGAAUCCUCCGGCCGCUGCCCAAGGUCAGCGGUUCAGCAGCACCAGUGACUGACCACAGCCCCCGACAGGGAGAGGAUUUGGCAGCAAAGCCGCGUAACUCACACCCAACAGGAGGCUUUCCCCUCUCGUUCUGCCCAGCUGCCCGCUGCAUUURUAGCUCUAUGCWUCAGCAGGGCAGCAAAUGCRCUUGGGGGACUGUGUGAAAUAGCCAAGAGCUAUGCUCUGUUARGCAGAGUGGGAUCCUGCAAUCAUAYGGGUCACAUGUGGUCACUCGUUCUUUAUAUUCAAAUCYGUCAAACAUUAUAUCAUAAAGGUCACUUUGCACUGACAUAAAUAGCUGAGAUUUCUCAGCAACAUGAGUGAAGCACUGCAAAAAUUUCAAAAAUACAUUUAAUUUAUGACUGGCACGUAAGCUUACUUUUCUUUGUCAUUUGUCUUAAGUAGGCUGUCUUAAAGCAAAUACAUACAUUUAUUCUGGAAGUAUAGAAAAGUAACAUGGGACAGAAAAUGUCAGGCUAUCCAGAACAUUUGACAGUUUAAAUACAGAUAAACCCAACAGAAAGGAAUGAAUCAUCAUGYCGUAGCCUUUACUGUAAAAUAAAAUACAUAGUUGUUGUCAAGGAAAGAAUAAUUUUAGUGCACAAAGAAAAUGUCCAUUAUAAUGCAAAUGUACAUGGAAAAGAAAUGCUUACUCAUUAGUAAUGGAGAUUUACUUAGCUGUAAUUGAAAUAGGGAAUCUGUAUGUUGGAGAAUGUGACAUCCUGCUGUACAAUUAGCAUACCAUUAAGUAGGAGAUGUGAAGCACAUACUGACAGUAAAAUUAACAAUAACUUAGAGGUCACAAUGGUAACUAUUAGGUCACUUCCAUAGCACAGCAAGCCCAUAAUUAUUGUAAAAAAAAAGAAAAGAUGUUAAAACAAGUAAUAAAUUUUCAUUUUCAUAUAAAUUAUAUGUAGCCAUAGCACACGAAAACAGUAUAACCUCCUUUCUUAGACUUUGUCUAAAAGGACCACUUUUCCUUUUUAUAAUGCACAUUCCAUUAACAUAGCUCAUUUCUUACCUGUUAAUCUGUUUUCUCCAAGUCCCUUAAUGGUAGCCCAGAUACUCGGUAUUAAGUCACUCUACUAUCAGGUGGAGAGAGGAAAAGGGAGGGGGAAAAAAGCAAAACUCUAUUCAUGAAACUCCCCUUUAUGGGGAUUUGCUCGUUUCACACUGUUGAACUAGAUUUCCCAAACAAGCAAAAUUAUGGAUCUCCUUUGGACCCAACCAGUAAGCUACAAAAAAAAAAGGGUCACAGAUGGGAUAAACAGUUAUAAGCCAGUUACCUCUUUGGUGCAAUCUUGUUUAUUUACAAUUAACAUACAUACAGUCCUGUUGUCCUAAAUUCAAUUUGAUGCAAAUGAAGAAAACAACUUCUCAUGGASUUCAUGGUUCCCAGCAUUUCCUGUGUGGCACUUGUCCCAUAGCAYUCUUUACACUUUCUUUUCCCCCAGAUGUUCUGUUUUAAUUAUUUCUCCAGAGUUUUACGUGUGUGCUGCCGUGGUGUUCCUCUCACCCCUACACUCAGGCACACACAGCUCCUGCCAGAUCACCGGAUUUUCAUUCAGACCCACCUGAGCACAAACUCAUUGUCAGCCCUSCUUCGUGUCUGUGUUUUAACAGUCCCUAGAGCUCCAGCUCCAGUGGAUAACAAACUCAGAGCAGUUCUGCACUAGUCCAAAGGAUCAGUAUGAGCAGAUACACAGUAGAUUUCACCCACUGCSUAUCGUAACACUUUUGGUCUGUCACAGUGGUGGAAUGGCAGAGAGGUCCAUGCCAGCAGAAAGAAGACAUUUACAAMAUUUAAAUUAUUUUAAAACAGUAGUAUUUGCAUGCUAAAUUUAUUCAAGACAUUUUCAAAUCACCAGCCCAAAACUUCAGUGUAAUCUUUCCAUGACUAUUUCAAAACAUUUUAAAGAAUAUCAGUAAAUGAGUUCCUACUAUUUCUCAGAUUCCCAUUUCUUUAACAUGUAAUGAGAUAGGCCAUGCCCAAUUUAAAGAUAUAAUUUCUGAAGCAAAUGUUCUGGAUUCUUGUAUUUUAGGAUUUGGGAACAGCCAUAAGGAACCUUCUGUCUCUUCUCACCUCUACCAGCUUUAACAUCAGAGCUCUUUACAUUUUCACCCCUUCAACUAAGAGAGAAGCUUUUAAAAUCUUGGGUUCUGUUGUUAAGAUUUCUUUGCUGGCCUUCAGUAACUCCUCACUGGAAYUCAACAAAGUUGACUACCAGUCCAUAUCAAGUACAAGGAUAUACUGAAAUAAAUGCCUCUCACAAGAAUUAUGCUUUUUUUCCCCCACGUCUUUGAUUUUGCUCAGGUUCUGCAACAUGCAUCCAUCAUCAUCUGCUGCUGGGAAGUAACUCSUAUCUUCUCUACUUAAUCCUUCAUAUUUCAAACUUUCUGCUGUAAAUUAAAAGCUUUUAUUAUAAUAAAAAGUGGUGGUACUGCAUUCCAGCAUGCAUGCAUCUACCAUUUCAUUACUCUUCUCUGGUAUCUGGGUCCUCUCCUGAAGAGGAUUCAGAGAAUGCUGCAGGAACCUAUGCCCCCACUCACAUUAAACAAAGCAGCAUCUAUUUCUGUCUGAACACAUUUUCCAUUCUUAAUAAAUCAGUUCCUUUCUGUCUUUUUCAGGCAGCAUCUGCUCCAUCAAAGCUUUCUCAAUUAGACAUGAGCUUUACUAAAGGUAAUUGCUAAAACCUUGCAGUACAUUUUGCACUCUUUAUGACUCACGAAUACCAGGAAGCAYGGUGGGGGUGCACUACCUAUGAGACUUCUGUCCUCCAGUACAAAACCUGAAGAAAUGUUUCUGACUUGUACAUUUGCUGCAAACAGCUACUGCCCACUUCAUUUGUCCAUUUUGUACUUGUCUCCAGGUGUAAAUACUGGAAUCUGUGCCCCGCACAAAGGCAGCCUGAAGCAGCUCGGACAGGAGCMGUUGUUAACAGCCCUUAUGAGCUGGGAAACGCUAAACCAGCAUUCAGCUCAGCUUUGAAAUGCCUCCCUUUGCCUAUCUAGCCACUGCUUUUGCAAUUCUGUUCAACUUCUGAGUAACUGCUCCGUAGUUAAGAGGGGUUUUACAAAGAGUGGCUGAUUAUCUGUAGAGCUGCACAGAUUGGAGCCUUGCUCUUUUUUUUUUUUUUUCUGAGAGUGCAUGUUGUACGUGCAGCCUGGGCUCUCUUUUGCCCAGGCUGUGUCUCGGUGGGUUCAGCAGCCAGUGAGAACUCUCCAGCUUAUCAGGGGUCUCUGGCAGAUGUACAGAGAUGUUCACUCUGACACCAGCAGGCCCCAAAUACUACGUGUGCUGAACAAACAUCGUGUGUCACAGAACACCAUUCCCAGUAUUUUUUCAAAUGCAGGGGGGAUACUGUGUAGGUUUUUGACCAGAGGGCUCAGCCUGCUUUAAGGACAGUCUUCCCAUUGCCCUUUGGGUCAGCCUUCUCUUCAUGCCAUGUCCCUGGCUCCAUCUAUUCCUUAGCAAACGUGAAACCUCCUGUAAACUUGCUUUCCAUUGCCUACUGAAUCUGCUUUUAUCUUUGCAUCAGAACAAUGAUGAAAAGGUUAGGCUUCAAACUGAGGAAGGUGUGAUUAAUUCCUUGAUGGCUCAGAAGACUUACUCCAUCUUUGCAGCAGGUAAAUGGUGAUUUAGCUGUUUCAUAAAGUAUUUCCUUUCAUCAUUGCUGUAAAGGAUCCAUAUUUGAUCAGGACGAUUGCUUUUCAAUGAUAAAAGUUUCUUAGAUCAUCACAUGUUUUACAUUUAAUGCUAGAGCAAUGCUUUAGGGUAAAUUCAGCAUCAAAAUAAGCUUAUUUUCUCCCCUGCAGUUUUCCUGUAUCCAUGUGUUUACUAGAUAUAUUUCUUCAUGUUUUGCAUCUACAUUUUUCCUACUGCUUUUGCUCAUCAAAAGUGCUCAGCAAAUAAACAAGCAUCCACCUCUUUUUCAAAGUCAGGAAGACUUCAGCAGCUAAAAUCCCUUUGUGAAAAUUGUUUCACUUUAUCUUCUUCUUCUUCUAGAAAACUACCACAGUAGGUAGCUAAAAUGUGUGCUUUUACGGGCAGGAUAAUCUAUCCAUUCAGAUCAGUUGCCUUUAUAGAUUCUUUCCUUCGUUGACCUGGGCUUUAUCUUUAAAAUGUAUUUCCAUAAACUGACUCUGUAGGACACUUUGUARGUAUUCAUUAUUCAUAUUUUGUCACAAAGAAAUCCAAAGUAAUUAUGAAUUCAUAUGUUCUCACAACUACUCAGGCAUCUUGCUUUAUUUCAAGUAUAUUUAUUUAUUUAUUUAUUUGUUAAUUAUGAACCAAGUUUCAUCAUCUCAGCAAUUAAUUAGAAUUUCUUGUUUUAUGUGAUUUUUAAAUCUCUUGGUUCAGAAACCCUUUAUAUUCUAAAAAGAACCAACACAAAACCAUCAGUCAGGGGACAGACCAAAAUCUCCUUCUCCUUAGUGCAUAUUAAACCAGAUGUGUUUGUGUAGUUGUCAAAAUCCAUUUCCAUUGUCUUCACUGGUGACUGCUUUCUCUUCUGAUGCACCGGUGCAGGAAGAUUCAGGUUCUGCAGAGAAUUCCACAUUCUCUCAGAACACUUUUGGCUUUCUUUCACUGAACUGAAUCUGCAAGCCUAAAUUUGUCUAAUUAAUUUAUUGCCAGUUUGUCUUAGGAGUCUUCAGUUUCUGACAGAAACCACCCAAGUCUUCWCUGGAUUCCUGCCAAGACAGUGUUUCUUUAGACUGAUGAUUCAGCACACACAAACAUUUUAUCUGAACCAACAGCAAAACCUCCUACAGUUUCCUUAAAUCCCUUGUCCAUGCAUCCUGUGCUGUAGGUGUGGCUGGUAUUGUUUCAGCUGUCAGUGCUAGAAAAGCAGGAGGACUGCAUUUAUUUGAAUGAAGCAUGAAUAUUAAUAAGCCCAUCAGCUUCAAUGAAGUUUCAUUCAAUGACCAGCAUGACAUAAUAAUAAAAGAUUCAAAUCAGUUGCCAGAGAUACACAGCAUUUUGAACCCACAACGUUAAUAGAAACACUACUAGGUCAGGGUGGGCACAAAAGAGGUGGAAGAAAACCAAGAUGCAUGUUUGCAGAACAAACUCAAGAUAGACUGAUCUAUGUAUUUAUUCUACUAGCAUAAUUUGAGUCCCRUGAUAGACCCCCUAUACAGACUAGUUUGACUAGUUUACUUCAAGCCCAUAGGUAUAUUCUCAUUCUUCAAAACACCCUUUCAAUCAGGAAAGAACAUUUUGUGAAAUCUCUGAACACCAUUAUCAGUAGCUCAACUCCAGAACUGUGAGCGAAAGCCUCAUACAAGAAUACAGCAUUACAUCAACUGAAUUUUUAAAAGUCAAGUUGGCAAAGCUGAGAGAGUCAAGYGAAGAUGCUGACAAGGUUGUUUUACCAGUUUAAGAGAAGCAGCAUCUCUCURCAGUCAGAUGGAGUCUACUAGUGUCACCUUCAGUAAUGUGAAGAUCCUGCAAACAGUGUGAACUCCCCUUCCAGAGAACAAAAAGGAUGAGCAGAGGAGAGAAAGAAAUACUCCUGAACAGAUGGGAAGAGAAAAACAAGUUUGGAAAAGGAAUGCAGAGAAUUGCUCACUAUUCUUAACCCAUCUGGAGGCAGGAAGAACCACUGGAAUGGAUCUGAGGCCUUUCUCAUGAGCUGCACAUUAACAGCCUCAAUGCAAACACAUAAAAWUUCUGCUUUAAUGCAGAAAGAAUUUCUCAUCCAUGAGUUGGGAAUUCAGAAUUCUAAUUUUCUUCUCUAGUCUAGGCUUUGAUUUGAUGAUUUGAAAAUAUUUGCUUUUCUGAAGUUUCACAAAUCCACUAAUAUUUGGUUCAUUAAUAAGCAGAAUCACAAUUGCACUUUGUGAUAAUAAUAUGCAAGAAAAAUCAUGGCAUUUAGUGUAGUGAUUUUGAUUUCAUGGCAUUCCUUUGGAAAAUUAAGCUCUGAAUGACGAAACCUUAAAGGAUAGAAAGACAGACAGAAAAGAAAGAUUCCUAGAGUUUCAGAAUUUCAUCUUCCUUGAGUGUUCUUGUAUGACCAAGCUGUUAUCUGGYCUGACCUCAAAGCCUCCUCAUAUUCUCCCUGGGGUGUGGAAUAAGGGAUGGGAGCCAGUYUGAACUUUUUCUCUCAUGGAAUCAAUCAUUAACUCUUUGCAUCAGUGAAUCACCAACUGUAAAGAACACUGGUACUUUCACAAUAAUUAGGAAUCUAUCUGGAACAUUCCAGCCUGGAAAKGUCUCAAUUUGUUCAGUAUGGGAAAAAUAUUAACUAAUAUGGCUUGGUCUGUGUUUAGCUUUAGAUCAGUGAAUUCACACAGGACUUCAGAUUAAAGGCAAUACGGAUGGAUAAGGCAAAUGGAGAAUUUUUUAAACACUGAAUAAGAUUUUUCUUCAUUUAGUGUGACAUGUUCUUCCUCUUUGUGCUCUCCAGUUGUAAGAGCUUUCAUGAUGAAGGCAGUGGCUGUCACUAUUGCUGUUUCAUAUUAUCCUUCUGCUCCUAACUGAAAUGAAUGGGAUGCACAUUAAAACCAUUCCUCAGCCUAGUUAUUUAGAAUCCCCUAACUUGCUAGAAGGAACUGGUAGCUAUUCAGGCUGGUUUUGGAUUGAAGUUUGAUUUUGUCUGCUGGUUUGCUGUUUGGGUUUUUUUUAAACUAUUUAAAAUGCAUUUUAUUUACAGAAAAGAUUCAAACCCUCACUGUGGCAGUUCUUAAGCUUUUUACAAUUAUCUUUAUAUUAAUGGAGACUCAAGAUGACACAGCCAGUUCAAAAAACAGCUUCUGGCUACCAAUACUGACCUAGCAUGGAAAAAUCAAUAUAAUUACAAAAGCAAUUAAGCAUGGCAAGCAAGGAAUCAAGCCUUUGCUCAAUCUAAAGUAAUUUAGAUUAACACAAACAUAACAGCCAAAAAAACUGYUUUUUGAUAGACUGAUCCUAGUAAAACUGAACGUGCAACACAUCAAGUGUUGACAGUGGGGUACAACAAAUGUUAAAAUGAUGGGAAUACAGAGUGAAGAGAUGGAUUAUUCAGGCAGCCUUGUGACUUGAAAGUAUCUGGAGUCACUUUGAGCAAGCACCAGUACUUUUUAAUAUAAAAUGCAAGGAAAAAAACCAGUAAUGAAUUAGCACAUUAAGAAUGUAUGUGUGGGAAAAAAAGCACAUUCUGUUUCUAAUGUUUUCUGAAAACAGGAAAAAGCAAGGAGACUUCUACUCCAAACAGUGUGCUUUCCACUAAGCUAACACAUYUCUAGAGUGAAGAGUUGAAAUGGCAAUAAUUUAGAUACAGAGAGGACCAAAUGCACAAGAAAAUGACUGUARCUGACCCCCAAGUUAGGCUUAACUAGGCAGAAGAAUUGCUGGCUCUUUCUAUAAGCAAUCAAUUAAAUGAYCAGAAAACAGAACUCUGUAAACAAAUAAUUUCUUGAAAAUAUAAUCACCUUGUAUGCAUUUUUUAGUGAAGAAAUAGCUCACAGUGCCUUAACUAAGUGUGAAGCCUCACUGUUCACAUCUCAUUAGAGAAUUCAGCCACUAUGAACCACCUUUAAACCACAGAAGUGCUGUGGGAUAUGUUGCAAUCAGAUGCAAACAAUGUGUUAUGAACACAUCUCCCUUUUAUAAGAGCAAAAUAUUAUUUGGCUUUAUGAACACAGGAAAAUUUAAAUUAUACAUUCAUAAAGCUUGUCUCUGGGUCAGAGCAGUUUUAUGACUUUAAUCAUGAGGAGAAGAAUUAGCACAUUAAGUGUUCAAAAUAGGUCAGUSCCCACUGUCUGUAGAAAAAUGUAAAUGAGUAAGACAAACCAAGUCUAAAAACUGUAUCUAACCCCCCGCCCCCCCCCAAAAAAAAACCUACAGGACAUUGGUAGUUAAAUUCAAUUUCUUAUCUUGGGGUUAGACUGAAUACUGUUUUACAAAUAAAAGUACAUAAAAAUCAUGGCAUAACAGAAAAUAAUAAUGAAUAGGUAAGAAGAUUCAUUAUUAUUUUCUUGAAGAACUACAUUUCCUUUCUGUUUUAUCARCUGUGUUGAAAACAUAGUCAACAARACUGAUUUUCAAUUUUUUUCKAAACCCAAAGAGCAAGGAGUUUUUUUAUGCUGAUAAUGAAUAGCAUGUCCAAAUUCCACAUGUUCUGUGAGAAAUAGAAAUAAAGUACUUAGAAAGGAAAAAGUAAACUUCCAUUACUAAACUUCAGAUCUGACAUUUCCCUUGCAAGGCAAGAAGCUGCAGAGAUUUUGUUCAAUUGUAUAAUAAUGGCAUCAACAAACAGAAAAAUGCAAAAUUCCCGAUUAAAAUCCUGAAUAAAAAUGGAAAAUAAAUUCUUCUCUCAUUUAUUWUGUGUCAAAUGCAUUAAUCAUCUGCAAGAUAAGAAAGCCUGUAAGAUGAGAACACAUUUUGAAAAUGUGCAAAACAUCUGGCAAAUGAGAAAACAAAAUGAAUACCUGCACAAGCCCUGGAGGUAUAAUAUUUGCAGCAAAGUUCUUGUAUAGGUACCAACCCUUAAAUGUCAGUUGGAAUACAGUACAUUUUGCUACCAACUCCACUUUUUAAAUUUAGUAACUUACAUAAAAAUAUUUCUCCCACAUGUAUCUGGCAGAAAAAGAGAAUAAUUUUAUACUCUUAAAUCUGAUCAUUCUUUUUUUCCCAGUUUUGCUGAACAUGAAUUUUUAUGAGCUGUCCCUUUUGGAAGAGUCUCUUGAUGCCCCUCAAACUGUUGUUUUUGUACCUCAGCUUGUUCUUUUGCAUGAUAUUACUAAAUACAUGAGAUUUUGCUUAAUAUUUUUUACCACAGCUUCAACAUGCUGCAAGAACAAUGAGAGCAAAGUAGUAUAAUUUUUUAACACAUUUUUUCUAAAGGCUAAGAGUAACCCUAUCAGAGAUCUUGUCCUUACUGCAUAGAUCUAUCAGUAUGUCAACCUAUGAAUAGGGCAAAURUUUGGAAUUACCUAAGCAAGCACCACAGAUUAUCAAAUGAAUCUUUUCCAAACACAGCUAUGUUUUCAUAAUCUCUAUACUUUCAAUUAUUGUCACUAUUUAGUCAUCAGUCUGUAGUCACCAUCACAACCAGUACUUUCAGGUCCUGUGGCAUCCUGUAGUCAGGGCACAUCUUACAGUAACAGGCAAAGGUGCUCACCAGUUUUGUGGCCAAGGCCAGUAAUUUAUUUACCAGCUAAAAUUYAGAUCCAAAACUUCUAAAGUGUAAAAAACCACCAAAUACUCAAAUAAAAAAUGGGGGGAGGGAUGAUAAGAAUGUGUCCCUUUACUAUCCCCUUGGAGCAGCCUGUGUUUAGUGACUUCCACUGUGGUGCCAGGAAAGAAGCUAAAGUCCAAAAGCUGUCCUGUUCAGGUGUCAGUGGGUGGGGAAUMAUUUCUUAAGUCUUCUCUUUCCCAUUAUGAGCUUUCCAAGUUCCAGUAGUACCAGUUAAACCAAAUUUGACAAUUARGUCAAGGGUCUGUCUGCAAGUGCUGAAGUUUGGUGAGCCUGAAAUCCCUAUUUUAGCAUUAAUAACCCUGCUUGGUGGAGUUCKAUCUCCUUGAAGUGAACCUCCAAAAAGAAUUCUGUGUGUUUGCCCUCACUGAAAUGUAACUUGAGCUCAUGGUUCAACAGUCAUUAGUACCAGAUUGGAGCAGUGCUGAAUUACAAAGAACUACAAACUGCCUCUUGAUCAAGUGCAGACAAAGCAUCUGUAACACUGUCCAGUGUCCAGAGAAGAGAACAAACUAAACUUCAUGGGCUUGGACCAAUUGUCAGAGAAUGGAAAAUACUCRAUCUGAUGUAGAGUGAUGACAAUGACACUUUGUUACUCAUUAAAACUUUUUUGAAUGAAAGAACAAAGAGAAUGACUUUAUACCAAGUCAAUGUGUUUUGYUUCAUCUGUCUACAGGAUUUUGAUUCAGUAUUAGGAUCAAAAAGUUGGGGUUUGGAUACUAUUGAAACGUGGCUUGGAUCAGAAGCUGAUUCUUAUUUUUGCAUAAAACUGCUAAGUUAAGCGUGGUGUUCUGAACUACUGAGAUGGCCACCACACACAUGAUCACAUCCCAGAAUAACAGUGCUUAGCAGCCUUGUUGAAAAUACAGUCAAUGCUCCUAACU